AUGGUUUUAAUUCGUAGCACGACGGAGGCGAGGAAGCUGAGCAGGGCGACGGCGCUGACGGCGGAGCAGCACAGGUCCACCACCACCUCCCGCCUCGCCUUGGACUCCGCUAUUGUUCUCUAUACCAUAGCUAAAUCUUUUGUGAUUACUCGAGCAACUGGAGCGCUAGAUCUUGUGGGCCUCCCAAAUAAUGUGCUUGCUCUUGUUUCAGGGUACUCUCGCCCCACGGAACUGCUAAUGAGUCGCCAAGCCAGUGCUGCACGGAAUGACCUUGAGCACAUGCUAUCUCAUGAAAACGAACAGCCAAAGGCCUUGCAAUUAUCACUUUUGGAAGAUAUCACAGAUGGUUUCUUUGAGAACCGUCAAAUUGGCAGCGGUGGGUUUGCGGUGGUUUAUAAGGGAGAGCUUGAGAAUGGGAUCGUUGCUAUGAAGAAGCUGUUUGAAAGGCUUGAUAUUCCCCAAAAUAAAUUCAACGGAGAGAUUCGCUGUUUGAUGAAGGUGAAGCACAAAAUUAUAAUGUACGUCAAAGGUUGCUCUGCUUUGAGUAUGUACAUAAAGGAAGUCUUGAUGGGAACAUCAAAGAAUCUUAUUGUUCACUUGGAUCUCAAGCCCCCAAAUAUUAUGCUGGAUGGCAAUAUGAUGCCAAAAAUUACUGACUUUGGGCUAUCAAGGUGCUUCGAUGAAAAGCAAAGCCGAGUUAUUACCACAAAUAUGGCUGGCACAUUUAACUUAGGAGAUCAGUUGUCGCUCAUGCACGGUGCACCCAAGCUCUUGCAGUUCGGCCGACCGUCCAUUCCGCAGCUGCGUGCACCCAAGCUCUCGCAGUAA
rnacentral:rRNA from 1 species